ensembl:lncRNA
AACAGAUACAGCGUGUUUUUCAAAGGUUCUUCUUCUGUGAAGGUCAAUCAAAGAGUUUACUUCCUUUUGUGUACGACUGGCUGCCCUUAUCCACUGCUCCAGGAGUGUGUAAAUGGGCCUUCUGUCUCCACAACGCCAUCUUCCAGCAUGCUGCCCUGGGGCCAGGCUGGGGGCAGAUACAUAGAUUUAAUGAAAAUGAUUGUAUGUCUGGAGAGAUGCUAUUCUGCCUUCUGUGGUGUGCUCUCUGAGAAGAGUUUUACAAUGUGUUGGCAGGACAGCCCCAGUGCAUGUGCUGCCAGCGAGAUCACAGCUAAUAGAGCUGCGUGGGUGCGGCAGCUGCUCUUGGGCAGGACAGAUACAAACCUGGUUUACCCUGCUGGAAGAGGAGCAUCAGAUCAUGCAUCUCAACAGGAGAAGUGGACUGUAGCAAGCUCUUUUCAGAAGAACUGAGUUGACGAAGCAGAUUUGUAAUGUACAGCUGAGGCAGCAUUAAAAAUACUUGGAGUAACAAUCUUUACCUCGCAAAAGCACAUCCUGGCAGUAUGUUUGAAGAUAAUCCUAAUGCUGCUUGAAUGACCUAAGGCAGUAGAGCUUGAGUGUGAGCCUAGCAUCUUGUAGCAGCAGGUCAUGUAGGCAGAGAUGUGAUUUCCAAGGCUAGGCUGGAGGGGAGCAUCUGAGAGUGCUUGUUUCGAUUUUGGAGUGUCUGUGGUGGAAGGCGUAUGUGAAAAGGCUUUUAGUGUUUCCUCAUCAGGAGGAAACUGCUCGUGUAUUAACGCAGAGACUGGGUGCACUUCGGUGGGCAAGGUGAGAACACCCAAUGGAAAGGCCAUAAAAGCAGCCCAGCAUGGCAAAAAAAAAAAGAAGUGUUUUUUGUUACUGUGCAUAUUGUGGUACAAAACCUGACCAUGCCUUCACAAGGGAGAAUGUUACUAUGCUGACUGUGGUGCCUCUUUUCUUUCCCAGAUUCCACCAUCAGAAGAGUGUGAAGAUGCUACCAGAUAAAUUGUCUGUUGUGCUUUGAUUUGCGUUCCACAUUACAUUCUCUCUUAUUUUCCUGUAAAUUGUAUUGCUGUCAGAAAGAGAGGAAACAUUAUAAUCCUAUGAAUAAUGCAUAACGUGAAUGAUUUUGUUCCCUUUUUCGUGAGCAGCAUAGAUUUUCUGGGAACAAUGGACAGGAGAGGAUUGCUGGUGUUGCCUUACGGAUUUCAUUCUGGGAAAGAAGUAAUAUUUGAAGCAGUGAAGGGAGGAGUGCUAUGAGGAGCUGGAGCCAGACGUACCACGCCAGGAGCUGCAAAGUCUCUGCUUUACUACCACGGCCCUCCUGCUUUGCCCAUCCUCUCUGUCCCUAGGAGGUCACCAUCACCUCCAGUGAGCUUUGCUCUGCUCUCUGGCUGCUGUGUCUUCUGUAGAUCCUGUGCCCCAAUGACAUUUGUGACCUGCCAGAAAAAUAUAUCUCUUUCCCCGAGUGUUGUGGAAGUGUUUACAUGAUAAACUGUCGGUCUGUGUGGAGCUGAAGGGAAAAGGCCAGAGUGCCCUUCCUACUGUUGGCAGGAGGAUGACCAGCAGCAAGUGCCUGGCAGUCACUAAUUGACUCAUUAGAGGUCUCUGUGGGUGUGCUCACAGGAGAGUAGGCACGUCUGUACCGCCUCCUCUGAUGAGAAGCAUGGAUGUCAGGAUGGCAGUAUGGACAGGACUGCGGUCCCAGUUGGUGUGGGACAGCCCAGGCAUCACUGGCUGUGGGGUGCUUCAACAGCUCAGACAGGCUUUGAGUCGAUGAGAGCUGGGGGAAACAUGCCAGGUCAGGACAUUCCUGCAGUGAUCCUGCAGGAACCACAGUGCUUCAUCUGCCAGCAGGACAAGGUGAUGCUGAGCUGUGCUGAGCUGCCCUAGGCCAGCCCAUUCCAGUGCAGCAGGUUGCCACGUUCCCUGUGCCUUGCUUACAGAAAUCUUAAUUUAUGCUAUUAGAAAUAGUAAGAACAAAGAGUUUGAGCACAGUUUACAUUUUGCUUGAGCACUGCAGUGGGUCUCAGCUAAUUCAUCAGCAGUGGUUCGUUCUGCUCGAAAUCCUAGGGAAUGGCUCCUCUCCCGGGGCAUUUCUUCCAACUUAAUUGCCAAGUUAUAGUGAAAUACGAGGUUCGUUGUUGUCUGCUGGAGCACUGGGGAUUCUGUUUUGUUGGCACAUUUUUCAUGACCCCGUGUCAGCAGCAUAACUAGGCUAUGAGAUAAUUUGUAUGCUUUAGACGAGCAGCUGAAUGCAUCUUCUCCGGAGAGAAAAAUAAGUUUGAUCAGUCCAGCAGCUUUAAUUAGGUAAAACUGAGAAAUAACUUUAAUUUUGUAGAUUAAGUGAUGUCAGACCAUGCAAGACAUUAGUAACUGCAAAACUGGCAGUGAGACUUAAUAAAAAUGAGAAAAACAGUACCUGUGUUUGGAAAAAAACCCAAAAACUACAGCUCAAAAGGCCGUAUAAAAACCAAAAGGAAAGAGUGGUGUGCUCUUAUUUCCCUGCUUCGGUGCUUUAGUUUUACAAUAGCUUUCCUCUCAUUUCCUAAUUAAGCAAUUUUGAAGUUGUAAGAAAGGACAGCUGCCCUGUUAGCCCAGCUCCUCCUCCUGGUGCUGUUGCAGGUGUCCCGCUGUUGUUGCAGGAUUUUGGAUGCUAUUGGUUGUAUUGAAAUAUUGUUGGCAGCAGGGAUGAGGAUUAAAUAGCGUAGGAAAUACAAAAGAAGCAGAUUUGUAAUGAUGUCUGCUAAUCCCUCAACUAUCUCUCUGUGAUGUACGUUGCUUUAAGGAGCGAUGAAGGAUGGAUUAUGUGCCAGUUUUAACCUUUCCUUGAAAACCUCCAGGGACAGUGACUCCACCACCUCCCUGGCAGCCCGUGCCUCUUCCUAGCCAUUCUUUCUGAGAAGAAAUUUUUCCAGAUAUAAAAUGGUGGGAGAGUUGUAGAAAACUGUACUUUGGUGCCUACCUUAUGGAACUUCAUAGUAACAGAGGAGCUUCAUCUCCAUACCUCAACGUCCUACGUUGGCAUGAGGUACCCGGUACCACUGGCUGAAGCUCUCUGGGCUGCCAUUCUGUGGCACAUUCACCAAAAAGGAAAAGAAAGGUGAUCAUGGCAUUAGCAUGUUGUUCAGAGCUUCCUGAACCCCAUUCCCAUUUGUUGGGACCUGGUUUGAAGUUCAAAGAGACCCACAGCGAAGUGACAACAAGAGAUCUCACGAUGCAAACAAGACAAAAUGAGCUUAAUGAGUACUACAUUCUCUACGUCCCAUAAUUUUAUCAGUAAGCUCUCAGACUUCUCGAAAUUACUCUGAAAUUGGCAGCCUGGACUUAAUAUUUUCUACCAUUUUGCCAUCACAUGCAAUUUUAGUUCUCAAGUGACUCCAAUUUUAAACUGUCAGUGAUUUAAACAGCUGCGCUGUGCACAGACUCAAGUGAGGACAUGCUUUUGUAAUCAAGGAGCCCAACUCCAAAUUUUAUGGUUUGAUGGUUACUGUGCCAUUCAAACUAUGCCCCAUUACACAGAAGUGCAUUCCUUUGAUUUUACCAAAGAGACCAUAAAUAUGACAAAAAGCAUAGCUGGAAAACAUGAUUUCAUGCCUGGAUUUUUCAGCUCCUUUUUAAUACAAAGAAUAAAUAAAGUGAUCUCUGAAUGGGGCAUCUCUUUGCACUGAGUUAUAUUUGGGUUGUUUGCAUGGUUAGCAGAGCUCAUUGUUGGGCUUUCUAGAAAAUAACUGUAACAAUGUUUAGAAAAAUAGCUUUCAAAUCAAAAGAAUGAGAGUCAGAGCGUAACUUCUCAUUUCAGUAGUUUAAAGUUGUGGAAGCUCAGGGCAAGGGGGGAGGAAGCUGUUCCGCUUGAUAUAAAACAUGUAGAUGAUGUUCCAUAAAUGCAUAAAUAAAACUAAUUGUCAGCAGUUGUAUACUUGGCAAACUGUAAGGCUUAUUGCUUGCAAAUUUCUUACCGUAUCCUUUCCUUUUUCCCCCAAGGUGAUGUAAUGUUUUCAUCUCUGAAAACCUGGUUUCGAGAAAAGAUUUGUCUCCAAAAUGGAAAUCUGCUUUUGAUUCAACAUUAGGUACCAGCAGACAGCACUUUGCAGUCCUACUUCUUUGAUUACUGCAGCCUUUCCUCAAGCAAAGUCCCAGUGCACAUUGCCCAGUGCAUGUGCAGUCUGUGUUAAAGGUUACCCAGGUCCCAGCAUUCAUUUGCCACCAACAGAAAAGAACAGAAUAAAUUCAAUCAAAAUUUGUAAAUAAAAAUGAAUAGCUGUGCCAUCUGGUGCUACUGAAGCAAAACAUACAACAGUAUGCACAGGUACAAUAAUUGAGAAUUUAAUUUGGGUAAUUAAGUUUAAUACAUAAUAAAAUUUUAUAGUAAACAUUUAAAAUGCUCCUAAAAAUGUAAGUGCUUAUUUUCUCAACAUUUUAUAGAAAGGUACUCAUUACAAACACAUCUAUUGGGUAAUUUUGCACUGUGAGUUUUUAGGUAAAGCAUUGACUUACAUCAAAGCCUGAGCACACCGUUGGCAAGUGACUUCAGCUGGUGUUGGAUUAGGGCCAGGAGGCCAAAGGGUGAGCCUUAAAAAUGUAAUUAUGCUUCUGAAAAACUCAAAUCAGGUACUUUUUCUUGCCAACAUUCGUGAUUUUUUUUUAAUGUUCCAAAAAAAAAAAAAAAAAAAAAAGAUGAUAUUUCCCCUCCCCUCUCUCUACUUCCCACCCUUACCUUGUUUGGUGCAGUGUUCUCAACAGCCAAAGGCAAACUGGCCCCAAGCUGGAUCCCUUGGCAGGUUGGGUGCUGUCAGUGCCAGAGAGGAGAUGCAGGAUGGAGUGGAGGGACUGCGUUAAAGGCUCAAUGCAGUUCAACAUCUCUGCUUUCCCCAACUCCUUCAGAUGGGCUGGUGGCAGUGCCAGUAUCAAAGGACGUUUGCUGAAAAGGUCAAGAGAAAGGCUACAGUAAAUCAGUCCCACCUAUGACUUGUAGCAUU